GGGCAGGCCACACCAACGGCAGAAGAGAGAGCUCAGAAAUUGUUUGGUAUCCAUCAUCAGCCUUUGCACCUAUUCGUGAUAUAUGCGGCUUUGCUAGAUGUACCUUCAUCUAUGGUUCUUCCAAGUGUGGUUGAUGAUCCGUAGGAGCUACCGGCAUCAUCUGAUGCAUCUGGAAUAAAUAAGAGAGGAGAAGAAUUCUAGCUUGGAUAGAC